GAUGAAGAACGUAGUGAAAUGCGAUACGUAAUGUGAAUUGCAGAAUUCAGUGAAUCAUCGAAUCUUUGAACGCAUAUUGCGCUCUCUGGUAUUCCGGAGAGCAUGCUUGGUUGAGUAUCAGUAAACACCUCAACUUCCAUAUCUUUUUUGAAAUGGGAGUUGGACUUGAGUGAUCCCAACGCUUUUCCUCACCGAAAAGUGGCGGGUUACUUGAAAUGCAGGUGCAGCUGGACUUUUCUCUGAGCUAUAAGCAUAUCUAUUUAGUCUGCCUAAAAAACAGAUUAUUACCUUUGCUGCAGCUAACAUAAAGGAGAUUAGUUCUUGUGCUGACUGAUGCAGGAUUCACAAAGACAGGCUUCGGCCGACUUUGUAAACUCGAUCUCAAAUCAAGUAAGACUACCCGCUGAACUUAAGCAUAUCAAUAAGCGGAGGA
rnacentral:misc_RNA from 1 species